UUUCUGUGAUUCACCAGGGAGUUUCUCUUCAAAAUCAAUCCAAGGUGGAGUUAUUUCCCAGCAUCUGGAGUGAAUUGUGCUGUGAUGAGAUUCCUGCAUGCUUCAGUAAUGGAAGCAGAAUUUUAUUCUGUCACAGAUGACCAUAUGACCUGGGACUAUAAAAGCCUAUUACUGUAAUUCAAGUCAAUCCAAAACUGUCUAUUGCAUUAAGUGGGACCAGGACCAGGCUCUAACAGAAUUUUCUACAGAGGUGAAAAGAGCACCAGACAGCGACCAAAGAAGCUCAUUGUUACAAGAAGUGCUGAUAAAAUAGAAAGAGAUAGAAGUCCCCUACAAGUAUGCAACAAAUAAGCACCCUAGAGCGCUGCUCACCUCUCCUGGUGUCAACAAGCAGACCUAUAGAACAAAUGUAUUAAAGAUUAGAACAUUUCAUGGUGUGGACCUGAAGCCUGACUUAUGCAGAUAAGCCAUUCAGCAUAAGAAUGGAUGUUGUCUUCAUUUCUACAGA